AAUUUCCCUGUUCUUGUUCCAGGUUUUCAAAGAAAUUCCCCUAGCAUCCUUGUCACUCCUGCAUUCCAGGGGACAUUCCAGGAAAAGGCUGUUUUACCACUUGAAGAAAGAGGACUAGAAUAAGUGAAGGGUGUCUCAUGCAUCUGUGUCCUGAGUUCACCAAUCUCCGUAUAUGGGCUCGACUCCCAGUGGCAACAGCUGGAGAGGAGGCAAGGAACCCUGGAACUGCCACCUGAUAGGCUGUCUUCCUAGCUCCUCUCGCACUGGCAAUCCUUUCAUCACACAGGCCUUGUUUUGAAGGGACCUAUCCCACCCACAGUGGUUUCUCACCUCUAGGAGGCCAAAAAGCUGUAGUCAAUUGCUGUGGCAUCAGGAACUCCAGUUCUUCUCAGAGGUGUUGUGAAGAGCUUCCCUUCCAACAGUACAUGGCCUAAAUACCAGGGAGGAAGUAUCUGACUCUUCCCAUUUUCAGUGAAACAGAACAACUGUUGUGGAUGCAGUGGCUUUGCAAGGAGAGUGGCAUUGUCUCUUGGUGAAUGUAGUUGUUCAGGGCAUGGGGAGGAGACAGGUUUAGUUUUGAU
rnacentral:lncRNA from 1 species